GUUUUAGAAUGAGGUCAUGCUAUCUCAUGCUAUCAAGGAGUUCAAAGUACAAUCCCUCAAAGCAGAUGCAAGAUGCCAGGGCUGGAAUAGAACCCACAGAUCUGCAUCCACCUUUUGCAAAUGUCACAAUGAGUAUCCUCAAAGAUGCAAGGAGCAAAUGAAUGGAUUAACCUCAAGUGAUGAUGUAGGUCAUGAAGGCUCAAUUCUCCCAAGGGAUCCCAGUCGUGAGGGGUUCGGAGUCACCACAUCCCUUCACGGACAGAAAGAGGAGAGGUUGUUGGGCACAGCCAGCAAUGGAAUCUACAGUUUGGAAUAAAAUGAGAAUGCUGAGCCCUUUGUCCAAAAAUGAAGGAUUUCAACAUGGGGACAGCAGAGGUUCAACCCAGCACAUAUGACUGCUCAGAUCUCACACCCACAAAGCUUCCUGUUUUUAUGCCAUCCUACUGGGGUGUGAAGUAGUGUCACCUUGUGGUACAAACCAACACGCAAAGACGAGAUCUGCACAAGUCCUCCCACCUGGAAGGUAAAGCAGGUCUGAGGAAUCCGUUUUAGUACUGAUUUGAAAGAGAUGGCAUUUUAAAGAUGGAAAAAUCCUUCAGCUUCACUGCAUCCAGCCUCUGACAGUUUUCUAACUGCCUGCAGCCAGAGUUUUCUGAAGAAUGUUGUACCCUCAACGUCUUUAUGAACAUUAGGUGCUGGGCUUAGUACUCUUUUACUGAAGCCUGGGAACCAUCUGAUUCUCUGCAUGGCUCAUAACCACUCCUCUGGGAUGGUAAAUGUGCAGAAUUGGAGCAUCACAAUGUCCUGGGAGCUCUCUCUCAGCAGACUGAAGAGAGGCAAUUACAAACAGUAGCACAAAUGGUGUCAUUGAAGGACGUGCUGAAGCAUGUUCUCAAACUGCAGCUUAAUUAUGAGUGACCAGGAAACCACUGCAACAGCUAAAGAGGUUAUUUGCACCACUGGAUUUGGAGUGGAUCAUGGUGAGCGAGGCUGUGAGCUCACAAUUCGUCUUAGAGAGAGAAGUAAAAUGGAAAACACAGUACACAAAAGAAGAUGCUAGAUGAAGUGCAACGCUGAUGUUUAAUUGAUACAGAGAAGAAGGCUGGUCACUGUUCCACAAUCCAUUCAUUUGUUCAUUCAUUCAUUCAUCUAUCAAUGAGUCAUCAGAUGUGUUUAGCAUGUACUAUUUGUGCACAACACUGUGCAAUACCCUAGGAUAGAUGAGUGAAGGAAAGGGACGUGAUCUUUGAUCUCCCACUGCUUACUAGGGAGGCAGAAAUGAAAUGAUAAUCACACAAAAGAAUGAUUCAAAUUGUGAUAAAUGAUAGAAAAGAAAAACUUCAGAUUGGCAUCAGAGCCCAUGUUGGGGUGACGCUGACUUAAUGGAGGCAGUCUGGUUGAGCUGCACCAAGGAACUGCUAUUUAAGAAGAUUUCUGAAGGAUGGGCAUGAAAUACUUUGGGAAGAGAGUUCCAGAAGGGGAAACCAAAUAUCAGAAAGAUUGAGAUAGAAAGAGCUUGGGAAAUUAAGGAGUUGCAAAAGGAGCAAAGUGGCUGCAGCUGAGUGAGCAGAAGUGGGUAAAAAAGGAGCCUCCCCAUUUUAGUUGAUGGGAUGCAACUCCUGAGGGAUCCUUACUGAAAUGAAACGUCAGGCUCUCUCGGUUGCACAGAAAUGAAGCGGCCGAGGUGUAGGACAAGCUCGCUGCUUGGAAUCAGGGAGGCUGUUUGGCGAUGGCCCACUGGGAGAUGGCACUCCUUAGCGUCUUCACCUGCCUUGUGCCUUAUCAGCCAGAAGGUUGCAAGAUGACCUGGAGUCCCCAGUAUCUUGGGUGGCAUUUGAAUGCGAUGGGUGAAGCAAUCUCUUCCAAUGCAAUGAGAAUUUAACCAAGAUAUCCACCCAAAUCCCUCCAAGCCUCCCCGCCUAUUUCCAGCUACUCGUUGGAUGACUACACGCUACUUGGAAUUUAUUUUAGCUCUUUCUCAAGAAAGAACCAUAUAAUGAUCCAUUAUUUUUUUUUAAAUGUG